AAUAACCAAAUAUAACACUUGAGCUAAGGAUCAAGUUGGUAAUUUUUCGUACAUCUUCCCGUAUCAUAUAGGGCUCCAAAAUAAAGAGCCUUGAAUACUAGAAGAAAAGCACCCAUUCCUAACAAGAUUAAGUGAAUACACAAAAUUGUGGUCAUUUUGUUGCGGGGCUCACUCGA
rnacentral:antisense_RNA from 1 species